AUGGAAAUAACUCAACUGGCAGAGUCCAGGACUUGCACACCUGAGGCUUCUGGUUCGAUUCCCAGCUCUACAUG
rnacentral:tRNA from 1 species